GGGAACAUACCCUUUUCUACGGAAUAGCCUCGGGAAACUGAGAGUAAUACCGUAUAAGCCCUUCGGGGGAAAGAUUUAUCGGGAAAGGAUUGGCCCGCGUUAGAUUAGAUAGUUGGUGGGGUAAUGGCCUACCAAGUCUACGAUCUAUAGCUGGUUUUAGAGGAUGAUCAGCAACACUGGGACUGAGACACGGCCCAGACUCCUACGGGAGGCAGCAGUGGGGAAUCUUAGACAAUGGGCGCAAGCCUGAUCUAGCCAUGCCGCGUGUGUGAUGAAGGUCUUAGGAUCGUAAAGCACUUUCGCCAGGGAUGAUAAUGACAGUACCUGGUAAAGAAACCCCGGCUAACUCCGUGCCAGCAGCCGCGGUAAUACGGAGGGGGUUAGCGUUGUUCGGAAUUACUGGGCGUAAAGCGUACGUAGGCGGAUUGGAAAGUUGGGGGUGAAAUCCCAGGGCUCAACCCUGGAACUGCCUCCAAAACUAUCAGUCUAGAGUUCGAGAG
rnacentral:rRNA from 1 species